UGCCGUCGUGGUUUCGUAAACUCCCUAAGAACGUACUCAUAACAACGUUUCUUUUUUCAAACUAAAAUUGAAAAGUCCACCAAUGCACUGAGACAUUGAUACACAGCAAGAGAAAGAUCAAGGUACUAACCUUGACCCCCUCUUGUAUCGGAUUAUCAUCUCUUUCUUGCAUACAGUCUAACCCCCGGAGUCGACCCUAUUAAGCGGCCAGUUAUCAAAGUCCCGAAAUUAUUGUCAGUAACAUACUGCAAGUAAAACCGCUAGAAACCAGCCGUCUCUAUAAAGCGACCGCGGCCACCUUUUGUCAUCCCGACGAGGGUUUUCCUAUCAUUGUCUUUACCCCCAUUAAACAGCUACCCAAAAUUGUAAAAUACACGUAGUUUAGCUUUGUUGUCCAAAAGGCGAUGACGAUAAAAGUCCAAACUAGAUUGACUACUGAUAAAACCGUCACGUUUAUCCUGUUUGUCUUGACGUGAUUCCAAGUUCAUUAAGAAUUUAACCCAGGUCUAACCCAACACGAUGGUAAAAAAUAUUCAAAGUACACUAACCCCAUUAACCGACCAACCCCUAUUAAUUAAACGGUCACCUGCCUAAAUAGGGGUUUGAUAUACUGCAGAAUGACAUAGCAGUGUCAUACGAUGUAGAAACAGUUGAUGGCAUCUGACUUGUUUUCCUGCCGACCACUGACAACGCGGUAUAGACAUGAGGAGCUCGCUCAUGUGGCAGCAACAUAAAUUGAAACUGGAACGGAGAAUUUCAAUUCAGGAUUUAAGAAAUGCUCUUCUAAUUUCCAUCAAUUAUUUCAUAAAAAAUAGCUCAGUCGCACCAACUAUAUAUGUAAAAUGCUUUUUGCUCCGCGAAAGAAACGACCCCUCGAGAAUAACGAGCUCCCGAAAGUAACUAGCCCCAAAUGCAGCUAAUUUCGAAGGUAACGAAGAUCGUCACUUUCGAUAUAUUUUACGGUAUAUGAUCCAGGUAUGUGCUGAAAAGCUGGGUUCCAAGUGUUAAAGUCAAAGUCGUGCUAAAAUCAGACAAGUCGUUAGUGAGCUCUUUCAAGUGAAGGUGAUGCGAUUUGCUCACCAAGUUAAUUGUUAUUCGCCGUAUUUCCCUGAAUUAUCAGCUUUCCAAAGAGAACCACCGGGGCCUACUUACUAGUAAUAGGUUUAUUACGGCUAAUGGGGAUGUGCCACUAGAUGGGGUCGCAUUUUCAUGAGUGGAUUGAUUGUCUGAAUGGGGUUGCAUUUUCACGAGUGGAUUGACUGUAAUGCAGUUGCAUUUUCGAUAGAGUUACUACAGGAGGUUGCAUUUUUUGAGGAUUUGGGGGAUAAGAAAAUUCUGACAAGUAGGGAUUUGAAGAUGGAAAGAUUAAUGGUGAAAAGUCGUUACCAUUCCACAUUCAGUUAAACAAUCGUGUCACUUCAUUUUACGAUGAAUUAGUUCAACAAGUUGGGAUCACGAAAAUGAGAUUAACCCCCAUUAAACAGCCACCCUAUUAGAUGGGUUCUAUAAUUGGUCACAGAAUAGACUAUAACGGGGUAAUUGUUCUCAGAGGCCAGCCGAGCACGUACAUACCCAAGUAAUCUCCCCGGCCCCCCGUUCACGACCCAGUUAUGUUUCUCAUUAAAGCGUCUUAUUGUUAUUCUGAACAUCUGUUCUUUCUCAGUGACGAAAGAUUAGCCUAAGUCUCGCCUCCCUUAUUAACAGGGAAAGUACUCAGAGCCCAGAUGGUGCUCCCUAAAGUGGACUAUACGGAAAAGGGGCCCUUUUUCAGGCUGGAGUUAUAUUAAAACUGGUAGAUUGUCACGAGCUCAAGUAUAAGAAAGGGUUGUUCGAACAAGCGCCGAAGUAGCUUGUAAGUGAUAAAGUUUCGCCUCCGCAUGCGGUGUAAAAUCUUGCUGGAAGAGACUGGCACCUCUUGAAGUUGUCGCAUCGAAGCUAAAGGAAAAAUACUAUUUUCCUGUGCCAGUGCGGCUCGUGUACGAGCAACUUCAGGAUCUAUUCUUCAGAGCAGUCUCAGUGAGUGACCAAACGCUGGUUUAUCUCGACAACUCCCCAGACUACUUCGAACAAAACGACACCGUGGGCUACCCUGGAAUGCUGGGACGGUCGUGCAGGAGCGCUAUGUCCAAGGACAAAUGCGAAUAUUUCAGUCGUUUCUGUAAACAUGGUUGUAACCUGAGAGUUGAAAAAGUGCAGCGUUAUAAGCGGGUUAAUUGUACGUGUAAAUUUAUUUACUGCUGCAAAGUUGAAUGCGAAGAAUGUACGGAAAAGUCAUAUUUUGAAAUAACUUGCAAUGCCUUGAAAGCAGUGGAGACAGAUGUCAAAGGGCGAGCCCAUCCCUGAGUUAAGCUCUUGAAGAUGAAAUGCACUUUUUGUUUUGAUCACGAUAUGUUGUAUGAUGAUUUUCAUGUGAAAUGCACUUUUUGGUGAGAUCAUUGAACGAAAUGUAAUAUUUCAGAAAUAACGAAGCCUAUCUUCUAUAACUUGGAAUUGAAAUAAAAUAAGCGAAUGGUUUCAAUUUCUUUCUCUUACUGGCAGUUUUGGCUUUCUAACAGGAAUAGAAAACAUUAUUUCAGUCGAUCGGGUUUUCUGGUUACAGAAACCACGGAUGAAAGCUUUGAGAACUCAAGAAAACUGUGAAUACUCACCUGCACUCUCCCUCUCGUGUUUCUACAUGAUAACUUUAGAGAAACAUUGAAAAUGCUUUAUAAUUUUCUUAACACAAUAUUCUUACCUCUUAUAAUUUACGUACUCAUCGUUUCUCAUAACUGUAUCAGCAAUUUCGUGUAGAAAUGGAAAUACUGAAAUAAAGUUGUUGUUGUAGUUUAGAUAAGUUAGUGCUUCUUUGAUAUUUAUCUUUUUUUAUUUAGCUUUCAAUUUGAAAAGUAAAAUUGACCGUGAUUGCCUUUUUACGCAGCGUUUUAGACUUGUACAGUCACUUAAAUUACACUUCAUUGAAUCUCAAGAAGUUGCUCUUUUUUAAUCCUCCUACACGGCUACACGUCCCUCUCACACCCUCUUCACCUUGCUCGUUUUUGUUGAUCCGAACUUCUGUACUUUCACAGUGCAUGGUUUCUUGGUAUAAACAUGUGCGUUAAUAAAAAGAA